rnacentral:rRNA from 1 species
GACGAACGCUGGCGGCGUGCUUAACACAUGCAAGUCGAACGGAAAGGCCCUGCUUUUGUGGGGUGCUCGAGUGGCGAACGGGUGAGUAACACGUGAGUAACCUGCCCUUGACUUUGGGAUAACUUCAGGAAACUGGGGCUAAUACCGGAUAGGAGCUCCUGCGGCAUGGUGGGGGUUGGAAAGUUUCGGCGGUUGGGGAUGGACUCGCGGCUUGUCAGCUUGUUGGUGGGGUAGGGGCUGACCAAGGCUUUGACGGGUAGCCGGCCUGAGAGGGUGAGCGGCCACAUUGGGACUGAGAUACGGCGCAGACUCGUACGGGAGGCAGCAGUGGGGAAUAUUGCACAACGGGCGGAAGCCUGAUGCAGCAACGCCGCGUGCGGGAUGACGGCCUUCGGGUUGUAAACCGCUUUCGCCUGUGACGAAGCGUGAGUGACGGUAAUGGGUAAAGAAGCACCGGCUAACUACGUG